UUAAUUCUAGGUUUGAUUCAGACACAGGCGGCUGGGUUGCAUAAAUACGACGCCACAAGGGCAUCGAAGCACGGAUUGCUUCCACGGUUUUUGAGGGUCGAAGGCCCGAAAAGGGCCAUUCGCUAAUGAUCCCUCCGCAGGUUCACCUACGGAGA
rnacentral:misc_RNA from 1 species